rnacentral:rRNA from 1 species
UACCAGCACCCCGAGUGGUCGGGACGUUUAUUGGGCCUAAAGCAUCCGUAGCCGGUUCUACAAGUCUUCCGUUAAAUCCAGCUGCUUAACAGAUGGGCUGCGGAAGAUACUAUGGAGCUAGGAGGCGGGAGAGGCAAGCGGUACUCGAUGGGUAGGGGUAAAAUGCGUAGAUAUCAGGAGGAACACCUGUGGUGUAGACGGCUUUCUGGACCAUAGCUGACGCUGAGACACGAAAGCGUGGGUAGCAAACAGG